UCUUCAUUUCUCGCACUCUCUCACACGGUCAGAGAGGCGAGAGAGUGUGCGAAAUGAAGAGA
rfam:Pristionchus pacificus strain PS312 contig9651, whole genome shotgun sequence.